AGCGAACGCUGGCGGCAGGCCUAACACAUGCAAGUCGAACGGACCCUUCGGGGUUAGUGGCGGACGGGUGAGUAACGCGUGGGAACGUGCCCUUCGCUUCGGAAUAGCCCCGGGAAACUGGGAGUAAUACCGAAUACGCCGUAUUGGGAAAGAUUUAUCGGCGAAGGAUCGGCCCGCGUUAGAUUAGCUAGUUGGCGGUGUAAUGGACCACCAAGGCUACGAUCUAUAGCUGGUCUGAGAGGAUGAUCAGCCACACUGGGACUGAGACACGGCCCAGACUCCUACGGGAGGCAGCAGUGGGGAAUCUUGGACAAUGGGCGCAAGCCUGAUCCAGCCAUGCCGCGUGAGUGAAGAAGGCCUUAGGGUUGUAAAACUCUUUCGCCGGAGAAGAUAAUGACGGUAUCCGGAGAAGAAGCCCCGGCUAACUUCGUGCCAGCAGCCGCCGUAAGAC
rnacentral:rRNA from 1 species